rnacentral:rRNA from 1 species
AGAGUUUGAUUCUGGCUCAGGAUGAAUUAACACAUGCAAAUCGAAUGGGAAGUGGUGCUUCCAGUGGCGAACGAGUGAGUAACACAUAAGAACCUGCCCUUGGAAGGGGAACAAUAACUAGAAACGAUUGCUAUAAUACCUCAUAGGCUGAGGAGCAAAAGGAGAAAUCUGCCCAAAGAGGGGCUCCCAUCUGAUUAACUAGUUGGGGAGGCCAUAGCUUGCCAAGGCGAUGAUCAGUAGCUAGUCGAAGAGGAUGAUCAACCAUACUGGGACUGUGACACAGCCCAAAUUCCUAUGAGUGGGAGCAGUAGGGAAUUUCUGCAAUGGGCGAAGGCCUGACAGAGCAAUGCCGCGUGGAGGUGGUAGGCGCCUACGGGUCGUCAACUUCUUUUCUCGGAGAAGAAACAAUGGUGGUAUUAGAGGAAUAAGCAUCGGCUAACUCUCUACCAGCAGCCACGGCAAGACAGGGAUGCAAGCGUUAUCUGGAAUGAUUGGGCGUAAAGCAUCUAUAGGUGGCUUUUCAAGUCUACCAUCAACUCCUAGGCUCAACCCUGGACAAGCGGUGGAAACUACCAAGCUGGAGUAUGGUAGGGGCAGAGGGAAUUUCUGGUGGAGCGAUGAAAUGCAUUAAGAUCGGAAAGAACACCAAUGAUGAAAGAACUUUGCUGGGCUGGCACUGACACUGAGAGACGAAAGCUAGGGGAGCAAAUGGGAUUAGAGACCCCAAUAGUCCUAGCCGUAAGCGAUGGAUACUAGGUAUUGCACGACUUGACCCGCGCCCUGUAGCUAAUGUGUUAAGUAUCCCCCUAGGGAGUAUGUUCGCAAGAAUGAAACUCAAAGGAAUUGACAAGGGCCCGCACAAGUGGUGGAGCAUGUGGUUUAAUUUGAUGCAAAGCGAAGAACCUUAAUUACUAAGGCUUGACAUGCCAUGAAUCCUAGUAAGAGAGCGGUGCCCUUGGGAACACAGACAUAGGUGGUUGCAUGGCUGUCGUCAGCUCGUGCAAUAAGGUGUUGGGUUAAGUCUCUCAACGAGCGCAACCCUCGUGUUUAGUUGCCACUAUGAGUUUGGAACCCUAAAUAGACCACUGGUGUUAAGCCAAAGGAAGGAGAGGAUGAGGCCAAGUCAUCAUACCCCUUAUGCCCUGGGUGACACAUGUGCUACAAUGGGAGGACAAAGGGUCAUGAUCUCGCGAGGGUGAGCUAACUCCAAAAACCCAUCCUCAAUUUGGAUUGCAGGUUGCAACUCACUUGCGUGAAGCAGGAAUCGCUAGUAAUUAAUCGCCGGCUAGCCAUACGACGGUGAAUCUGUUCUCGGGCCUUGUACACACCGCCCGUCACUCCCACUGCACAAACACACCUCCGCCAUCAUGUCAACCUAUGUCCAAGCCACUGCAUCUCCACAUU